rnacentral:rRNA from 1 species
AUUGAACGCUGGCGGCAUGCUUUACACAUGCAAGUCGAACGGCAGCGCGGGCUUCGGCCUGGCGGCGAGUGGCGAACGGGUGAGUAAUGCAUCGGAACGUGCCCGGUAGUGGGGGAUAGCCCGGCGAAAGCCGGAUUAAUACCGCAUACGACCUGAGGGUGAAAGCGGGGGACCGAAAGGCCUCGCGCUAUUGGAGCGGCCGAUGUCGGAUUAGCUAGUUGGUGGGGUAAAGGCUUACCAAGGCGACGAUCCGUAGCUGGUCUGAGAGGACGACCAGCCACACUGGGACUGAGACACGGCCCAGACUCCUACGGGAGGCAGCAGUGGGGAAUUUUGGACAAUGGGGGCAACCCUGAUCCAGCUAUGCCGCGUGCGGGAAGAAGGCCUUCGGGUUGUAAACCGCUUUUGUUUGGGAAGAAAUCCUCUGGGCUAAUACCCCGGGGGGAUGACGGUACCGGAAGAAUAAGCACCGGCUAACUACGUG